rnacentral:tRNA from 1 species
GGGCCGGAGGCGCGACCUGGUAGCGCAGGUGGCUUUUAACCAUCCUACUGUGCGGGUUCAAAUCCCGCUCGGCCCG